AGUGAACGCUGGCGGUAGGCCUAACACAUGCAAGUCGAACGGCAGCACAGUAAGAGCUUGCUCUUACGGGUGGCGAGUGGCGGACGGGUGAGGAAUACAUCGGAAUCUACUUUUUCGUGGGGGAUAACGUAGGGAAACUUACGCUAAUACCGCAUACGACCUACGGGUGAAAGUAGGGGAUCUUCGGACCUUGCGCGAUUGAAUGAGCCGAUGUCGGAUUAGCUAGUUGGCGGGGUAAAGGCCCACCAAGGCGACGAUCCGUAGCUGGUCUGAGAGGAUGAUCAGCCACACUGGAACUGAGACACGGUCCAGACUCCUACGGGAGGCAGCAGUGGGGAAUAUUGGACAAUGGGCGCAAGCCUGAUCCAGCCGUACCGCGUGGGUGAAGAAGGCCUUCGGGUUGUAAAGCCCUUUUGUUGGGAAAGAAAAGCAGCAGGUUAAUACCCCGCUGUUCUGACGGUACCCAAAGAAUAAGCACCGGCUAACUUCGUG
rnacentral:rRNA from 1 species